CCUACGGGAGGCAGCAGUGAGGAAUUUUGCGCAAUGGGGGCAACCCUGACGCAGCAACGCCGCGUGGGUGAAGAAGGCCUUUGGGUCGUAAAGCUCUGUCAACAAGGAAGAAAUUACAAUUAUUUAAUAGAUAAUUGUAUUGACGGUACUUGUGGAGGAAGCGCCGGCUAACUCCGUGCCAGCAGCCGCGGUAAU
rnacentral:rRNA from 1 species